GCGGAGGAAAAGAAACCAACAGGGAUUGCCUUAGUAGCGGCGAGUGAAGCGGCAAAAGCUCAAAUUUGAAAUCUGGCACUUUCAGUGUCCGAGUUGUAAUUUGAAGAAGGUAUCUUUGGGUCUGGCUCUUGUCUAUGUUUCUUGGAACAGAACGUCACAGAGGGUGAGAAUCCCGUGCGAUGAGAUGUCCCAGACCUAUGUAAAGUUCCUUCGAAGAGUCGAGUUGUUUGGGAAUGCAGCUCUAAGUGGGUGGUAAAUUCCAUCUAAAGCUAAAUAUUGGCGAGAGACCGAUAGCGAACAAGUACAGUGAUGGAAAGAUGAAAAGAACUUUGAAAAGAGAGUGAAAAAGUACGUGAAAUUGUUGAAAGGGAAGGGCUUGAGAUCAGACUUGGUAUUUUGUAUGUUACUCUCUCGGGGGUGGCCUCUACAGUUUACCGGGCCAGCAUCAGUUUGAGCGGUAGGAUAAGUGCAAAGAAAUGUGGCACUGCUUCGGUAGUGUGUUAUAGUCUUUGUCGAUACUGCCAGCUUAGACUGAGGACUGCGGCUUCGGCCUAGGAUGUUGGCAUAAUGAUCUUAAGUCGCCCGUCUUGAACACGGGACCAAC
rnacentral:rRNA from 1 species